AUAGGUUAAUGAGGCGAACCGGGGGAACUGAAACAUCUAAGUACCCCGAGGAAAAGAAAUCAACCGAGAUUCCCCCAGUAGCGGCGAGCGAACGGGGAGCAGCCCAGAGCCUGAAUCAGUGUGUGUGUUAGUGGAAGCGUCUGGAAAGGCGUGCGAUACAGGGUGACAGCCCCGUACACAAAAAUGCACAUAUUGUGAGCUCGAUGAGUAGGGCGGGACACGUGGUAUCCUGUCUGAAUAUGGGGGGACCAUCCUCCAAGGCUAAAUACUCCUGACUGACCGAUAGUGAACCAGUACCGUGAGGGAAAGGCGAAAAGAACCCCGGCGAGGGGAGUGAAAAAGAACCUGAAACCGUGUACGUACAAGCAGUGGGAGCACGCUUAGGCGUGUGACUGCGUACCUUUUGUAUAAUGGGUCAGCGACUUAUAUUCUGUAGCAAGGUUAACCGAAUAGGGGAGCCGAAGGGAAACCGAGUCUUAACUGGGCGUUAAGUUGCAGGGUAUAGACCCGAAACCCGGUGAUCUAGCCAUGGGCAGGUUGAAGGUUGGGUAACACUAACUGGAGGACCGAACCGACUAAUGUUGAAAAAUUAGCGGAUGACUUGUGGCUGGGGGUGAAAGGCCAAUCAAACCGGGAGAUAGCUGGUUCUCCCCGAAAGCUAUUUAGGUAGCGCCUCGUGAAUUCAUCUCCGGGGGUAGAGCACUGUUUCGGCAAGGGGGUCAUCCCGACUUACCAACCCGAUGCAAACUGCGAAUACCGGAGAAUGUUAUCACGGGAGACACACGGCGGGUGCUAACGUCCGUCGUGAAGAGGGAAACAACCCAGACCGCCAGCUAAGGUCCCAAAGUCAUGGUUAAGUGGGAAACGAUGUGGGAAGGCCCAGACAGCCAGGAUGUUGGCUUAGAAGCAGCCAUCAUUUAAAGAAAGCGUAAUAGCUCACUGGUCGAGUCGGCCUGCGCGGAAGAUGUAACGGGGCUAAACCAUGCACCGAAGCUGCGGCAGCGACACUAUGUGUUGUUGGGUAGGGGAGCGUUCUGUAAGCCUGUGAAGGUGUACUGUGAGGUAUGCUGGAGGUAUCAGAAGUGCGAAUGCUGACAUAAGUAACGAUAAAGCGGGUGAAAAGCCCGCUCGCCGGAAGACCAAGGGUUCCUGUCCAACGUUAAUCGGGGCAGGGUGAGUCGACCCCUAAGGCGAGGCCGAAAGGCGUAGUCGAUGGGAAACAGGUUAAUAUUCCUGUACUUGGUGUUACUGCGAAGGGGGGACGGAGAAGGCUAUGUUGGCCGGGCGACGGUUGUCCCGGUUUAAGCGUGUAGGCUGGUUUUCCAGGCAAAUCCGGAAAACUAAGGCUGAGGCGUGAUGACGAGGCACUACGGUGCUGAAGCAACAAAUGCCCUGCUUCCAGGAAAAGCCUCUAAGCAUCAGGUAACAUCAAAUCGUACCCCAAACCGACACAGGUGGUCAGGUAGAGAAUACCAAGGCGCUUGAGAGAACUCGGGUGAAGGAACUAGGCAAAAUGGUGCCGUAACUUCGGGAGAAGGCACGCUGAUAUGUAGGUGAAGUCCCUCGCGGAUGGAGCUGAAAUCAGUCGAAGAUACCAGCUGGCUGCAACUGUUUAUUAAAAACACAGCACUGUGCAAACACGAAAGUGGACGUAUACGGUGUGACGCCUGCCCGGUGCCGGAAGGUUAAUUGAUGGGGUCAGCGCAAGCGAAGCUCUUGAUCGAAGCCCCGGUAAACGGCGGCCGUAACUAUAACGGUCCUAAGGUAGCGAAAUUCCUUGUCGGGUAAGUUCCGACCUGCACGAAUGGCGUAAUGAUGGCCAGGCUGUCUCCACCCGAGACUCAGUGAAAUUGAACUCGCUGUGAAGAUGCAGUGUACCCGCGGCAAGACGGAAAGACCCCGUGAACCUUUACUAUAGCUUGACACUGAACAUUGAGCCUUGAUGUGUAGGAUAGGUGGGAGGCUUUGAAGUGUGGACGCCAGUCUGCAUGGAGCCGACCUUGAAAUACCACCCUUUAAUGUUUGAUGUUCUAACGUUGACCCGUAAUCCGGGUUGCGGACAGUGUCUGGUGGGUAGUUUGACUGGGGCGGUCUCCUCCUAAAGAGUAACGGAGGAGCACGAAGGUUGGCUAAUCCUGGUCGGACAUCAGGAGGUUAGUGCAAUGGCAUAAGCCAGCUUGACUGCGAGCGUGACGGCGCGAGCAGGUGCGAAAGCAGGUCAUAGUGAUCCGGUGGUUCUGAAUGGAAGGGCCAUCGCUCAACGGAUAAAAGGUACUCCGGGGAUAACAGGCUGAUACCGCCCAAGAGUUCAUAUCGACGGCGGUGUUUGGCACCUCGAUGUCGGCUCAUCACAUCCUGGGGCUGAAGUAGGUCCCAAGGGUAUGGCUGUUCGCCAUUUAAAGUGGUACGCGAGCUGGGUUUAGAACGUCGUGAGACAGUUCGGUCCCUAUCUGCCGUGGGCGCUGGAGAACUGAGGGGGGCUGCUCCUAGUACGAGAGGACCGGAGUGGACGCAUCACUGGUGUUCGGGUUGUCAUGCCAAUGGCACUGCCCGGUAGCUAAAUGCGGAAGAGAUAAGUGCUGAAAGCAUCUAAGCACGAAACUUGCCCCGAGAUGAGUUCUCCCUGACUCCUUGAGAGUCCUGAAGGAACGUUGAAGACGACGACGUUGAUAGGCCGGGUGUGUAAGCGCAGCGAUGCGUUGAGCUAACCGGUACUAAUGAACCGUGAGGCUUAACCUUACAACGCCGAAGGUGUUU
rnacentral:rRNA from 2 species